UUUAAGGUCUAACCUGCCCAAUGAGUAUUUAAAUAGCCGCAGUAUUUUGACUGUGCAAAGGUAGCAUAAUUAUUAGUUUUUUAAUUAAAAGCUUGUAUGAAUGGUUGGCCAAGAUAAAAUCUGUCUUUAAAUUAAUUAAUAUAGAAUUUAACUUUUAAGUUAAAAGGCUUAAAUUUAUAUAAAAGACGAGAAGACCCUAUAGAUCUUUAUUUAAUUUAAGUUUUUUAUAUUUUAAGAUUAUUUUUAUUUAAAAUUUAAUUAAAUUUUAUUGGGGUAAUAUAGAGAUUAAUAUAAUUCUUUUUAUUAAAAACAUUGAUUUAUGAAUUUAUGAUCCAGUAUUAUUGAUUAUAAGAUUAAGUUACCUUAGGGAUAACAGCGUAAUUUUUUUGGAGAGCUCAUAUCGAUAAAAAAGUUUGCGACCUCGAUGUUGGAUUAAAAUUUAUCUUUGGUGUAGAAGCUUGAGAUUUUGGUCUGUUCGACCA
rnacentral:rRNA from 1 species